UUGAACCUUCAUUGAAACGCGUCUUGGAUGGGUGUCCCGGUAAAAAUACACAUCCAUCAGUAACCAAGGAAAAAUAUCAGAAGAGAAAGGAAACGGGAUUUGGGGACUUUUAAUGUGUUCAUUUUAAGAAAACUUGGAUUUUUGGGAACCCAGGUGGUCGUGUUUUAAUCAAAAAAAAAAAAAAAAGCAAAAUGGGACGAGGAACCAUCCACAGGAGAUUUAAUGCCCCCCCCUCUUCAACACAGGAAGGUCGAGAACAAUAUGAGCUGGCGGCCACAUCAGAGCAGGGGGGCAAGAAAUCAAAGCCCAAGGGCAAAAAAGAAAAGGAUAAAGAUAUGGAUGAACUCAAAAAAGAAGUGGACUUGGAUGAUCACAGGCUGUCACUGGAUGAGCUCACUAGGAAAUACAGCACUGAAUUAUCCAGGGGAUUGUCAGUUGCUCGGGCAAAGGAAAUUUUGGCACGUGAUGGACCCAAUGCAUUGACUCCACCUCCAACAACCCCAGAAUGGGUUAAGUUUUGCAAACAACUCUUUGGAGGAUUCUCAACUCUCCUGUGGAUUGGAGCUAUCCUUUGUUUUCUUGCAUAUGGAAUCCAGGCAGCCUCAGAGGAGGAACCUGCCAAUGACAACUUGUAUCUGGGAAUAGUGCUUUCUGCUGUCGUGAUGAUUACUGGAUGUUUCUCAUACUAUCAAGAGGCCAAGAGCUCAAAGAUCAUGGACUCUUUUAAGAACCUUGUCCCUCAGCAAGCCUUGGUUAUCCGUGAUGGUGAGAAGAACAAUAUCAAUGCUGAGGAAGUGGUUGUUGGUGAUCUUGUGGAAGUAAAGGGUGGUGACAGAAUUCCUGCUGAUCUGCGUAUCAUUUCAGCUCAUGGAUGCAAGGUCGACAACUCUUCCCUUACUGGUGAAUCUGAGCCCCAGACUCGUACUCCUGACUUCUCCAAUGACAACCCUCUGGAGACCAGAAACAUUGCAUUCUUCUCUACCAACUGUGUUGAAGGUACUGCCAGAGGUAUCGUCAUCAACACUGGUGACCGUACUGUCAUGGGUCGUAUCGCCACCCUUGCCUCUGGUCUUGAAGUUGGUCGCACUCCCAUCUCCAUUGAGAUUGAGCAUUUCAUCCACAUCAUCACUGGUGUAGCUGUCUUCCUGGGCGUUUCCUUCUUUGUCCUGUCCUUGAUCCUUGGCUACUCUUGGCUGGAAGCAGUCAUCUUCCUGAUUGGUAUCAUUGUUGCCAAUGUGCCAGAAGGUCUCUUGGCUACUGUAACUGUGUGUCUGACUCUGACUGCCAAACGUAUGGCGAAGAAGAACUGCCUUGUAAAGAAUCUCGAAGCGGUUGAGACUCUUGGCUCAACCUCUACCAUCUGCUCUGACAAGACUGGAACUUUGACCCAGAACCGAAUGACUGUGGCUCACAUGUGGUUUGACAACCAGAUUCAUGAAGCAGACACCACAGAGAACCAGAGUGGAACCUCCUUUGAUAGGAGCUCAUCUACAUGGGCCGCCCUUGCACGUGUCGCUGGCCUGUGCAACCGUGCUGUCUUCCUUGCUGAGCAAGAAAACAUCCCAAUUCUUAAGAGAGAUGUGGCUGGUGAUGCCUCAGAAUCUGCACUCCUAAAGUGUAUUGAGCUCUGCUGUGGUUCAGUGAAGGAGAUGAGAGAGAAGUACUACAAGAUUGCUGAGAUCCCUUUCAAUUCCACCAACAAAUACCAGCUUUCCGUCCACAAGAACCUCAAUUCAUCUGAAACCAAACACCUGCUGGUAAUGAAAGGAGCUCCUGAGAGAAUCCUGGACAGAUGCUCCUCUAUUUUGAUCCAUGGAAAAGAGCUGCCCCUUGAUGAUGAGAUGAAGGAUGCCUUCCAGAAUGCCUACUUGGAACUUGGUGGCCUGGGAGAAAGAGUACUGGGAUUCUGCCACUUUAACCUUCCUGAUGAACAGUUUCCUGAGGACUUCCAGUUUGAUACAGAGGAGGUUAACUUCCCGACUGAGAACCUGUGUUUCAUUGGCCUUAUGUCCAUGAUUGACCCCCCUCGUGCUGCUGUCCCAGAUGCCGUAGGCAAGUGUAGGAGUGCUGGAAUCAAGGUUAUCAUGGUUACAGGUGAUCAUCCAAUCACAGCCAAGGCCAUUGCUAAGGGAGUGGGUAUCAUAUCUGAGGGCAAUGAAACUGUUGAAGACAUUGCUGCUCGCUUGAACAUUCCUAUUAACGAAGUCAACCCAAGGGAUGCCAAGGCUUGUGUGAUCCAUGGUGGAGAUCUGAAGGACCUGACCGCUGAACAGUUAGAUGAUGUCUUGAAAUACCACACAGAAAUAGUGUUUGCCAGAACUUCUCCUCAGCAAAAGCUGAUUAUCGUUGAAGGCUGCCAGAGACAGGGUGCCAUUGUAGCUGUAACUGGUGAUGGCGUGAAUGAUUCUCCUGCUCUGAAGAAGGCUGACAUUGGUGUGGCUAUGGGAAUUGCUGGAUCUGAUGUAUCCAAACAGGCUGCUGACAUGAUCCUUUUGGAUGACAACUUUGCUUCAAUUGUCACUGGAGUAGAAGAAGGUCGUCUGAUCUUUGACAACUUAAAGAAGUCCAUUGCUUACACCUUGACCAGUAAUAUCCCGGAGAUCACCCCCUUUCUCCUCUUCAUCUGUGCCAACAUUCCUCUUCCAUUGGGUACCGUCACAAUCCUCUGUAUCGAUCUGGGAACUGACAUGGUUCCUGCUAUCUCCUUGGCCUAUGAAGCUGCUGAGAGCGACAUCAUGAAGCGUCAACCCAGAAACCCCAAGACGGACAAACUUGUGAAUGAGAGGCUCAUUAGCAUAGCCUACGGUCAGAUCGGUAUGAUUCAAGCUCUGGCUGGGUUCUUUACAUAUUUUGUCAUCCUGGCUGAAAAUGGCUUCCUGCCAUCAACAUUGCUGGGUAUUCGUGUUUUAUGGGAUGACAAACAUGUUAAUGACCUGGAAGACAGUUAUGGCCAACAGUGGACAUAUGAGCAGAGGAAGAUUGUGGAGUUCACGUGCCACACAGCUUUCUUCACCAGUAUUGUAAUUGUACAGUGGGCUGACUUGAUCAUCUGCAAGACCAGAAGGAACUCUGUCUUCCAGCAAGGAAUGAAGAAUAAGAUUCUCAUCUUUGGACUGUUUGAAGAAACUGCUCUUGCAGCCUUCCUGUCCUACUGCCCAGGAAUGGAUGUUGCCCUUAGAAUGUACCCACUAAAUUUAGGUUUCGUUCAUUAAAAACGUUCUUCAUCGCAUCAUGCAACAAAUUACACCAAACUGGUGGUUCUGCGCCUUCCCCUAUUCACUCCUCAUCUUUAUUUAUGAUGAAAUCCGAAAACUUAUCAUCCGACGCAGCCCAGGAGGUUGGGUGGAGAGGGAGACCUACUAUUAAAGCAUCCAGUCUGCAUCACACAAAGUUUAUUUGCAUGGUUGUCUUGCUGCUCAGAAUUUGAACCUCAGUAAUUUGGAUGUGUUUUAUAUAGGGAAUGCUUGAUAAAAACACUGAGAUCAUGAACCAAGACAUUGCAUGCCUUGUUUUUGAAGCUGGACCAAUUUUAUACAUGUUUUUAAAAGUGUAAUAUAAAAAUAAACUUGCAGCCAGGUCCCAUGUUUUGUGUCAUUUCCAUCUUUUAAAUGUUUAAUUAUGUUUACCUCUCUGUUUGUUCUUUUUAAUUUGGCAAGUGCAUGACACAAAUGCCAAUGUUUUUGUUGCUUGGCACUCUAGGUGCUUUACUUAUGUUUCCAUUGUGACCAUAGUUUACAUCUAAAUACCAUAGUAACUACAUAGAAUAUUACUGUAAAAUAAUACAUUUAUGACAUUUUCACAAUGCCAUCUAAGAAGCUUUUAGAAUCUUUCUGUCCUUUGAAUGAAAGUGGUUGGCUAAUAUGACCAAUAAACAUUAACUGUGGUAUUUCUGUGAAAACUAUGGUUACUAUUACAAUUUGUAUUUUUUAUUUGGAUAAAUAUUGCUUGAAAACAAGUUCCUGUAAGCAAGCCAAAUAAGAAAUCCUGGCUAGUUCUCUGCCAAUCUCCUUUCCAUUUUAACAGCUUUGACUAUUAAAAAGUAAAACACAAUUGAAUAACUUUACAGUACAAUAUCCUCCCCAGUGAGAGUGGGCACAUUUUAAGUGGGUUUGAAAUGUCUAAACCAGAUCCCAUGUCUGGAUGAGACCAGAGCACCACUUCCCUAAAUCUGCUUUGCAUGGUUUUGGCCAAAGCAUCCUGAGUCACAAUCAACAAAGUGGGCAGUGAAUGCAAUAAUAUAUAUAGAGAUUAACCUUUGUUUUUUGUUUUUUCUUUCCCAAUUCAUAAGUGU